rnacentral:lncRNA from 1 species
ACAACGAGAGCGGCACAUGAUGCUUCAGCAUACGACCCAAAGAGGUCAGAUCCCAUACCAGCAAUGUCACCAACAUUGUCACCCACAUUAUCAGCAAUGACCUGUAACAUAACGUUCAAAAUUAACUCCAAAAAUGGAAAAAAAGGAGAAGCAAAAGCAGUGUCUUAUAACAUACACAGUUAAAAGAUGUACUUACAGCUGGGUUCCUUGGAUCGUCUUCAGGAAUAUUCCUCUCAAUUUUACCGACAAGGUCAGCACCCACAUCAGCUGCUUUAGUGUAGAUCCCACCACCAACACGGCCAAAGAGAGCCAUGGAAGACCCACCAAGCCCGUAGCCAGUGAUAGCCUCAAAAAGACCUUCCCAAUCAUCUCCGUAAUAGAUCUUGAACACAUUGAUGGUGAUGUAUAG